GACGAACGCUGGCGGCGUGCUUAACACAUGCAAGUCGAACGGCAAGGCCUCUUUCGGUUGGUCCUCGGGUGGCCAACUGGUGGGUGACACGGGAGUAAACUGCCCUUUACUUUUUGGUAACUUCAGGCGACUGGGGCUUAUACCUGAUACGGGCUCCUACUUCCUGGUGGGGGUUGGAGAGUUUCGGGGGUUGGGGGUGUGCUCGCGGCGUAUCCGCUUGUUCGUGGGGGAGUGGCUUACCAAGGCUUUGACGGGUAGCCGGCCUGAGGGGGUGAGCGGCGACAUUGGGACUGAGAGACGGCACAGAUGCCGAAGGGAGGCAGCAGUGGGGAAGAUUGCACAAGGGGUGGAAGGCGGAUGAAGCAACGCCGUGGGCGGGAUGACGGCCUUCGGGUGGUAAAACGCUUUCGCGCAUGACGAAGCUUUGUGUGACGGUAGUGGGUAAAGAAGCACCGGCUAACUACGUG
rnacentral:rRNA from 1 species